rnacentral:rRNA from 1 species
UAGAAGUUUGAAUCCUGGCUCAGAUUGAACGCUGGCGGCAGGCCUAACACAUGCAAGUCGAGCGGUAGAGAGAAGCUUGCUUCUCUUGAGAGCGGCGGACGGGUGAGUAAUGCCUAGGAAUCUGCCUGGUAGUGGGGGAUAACGUUCGGAAACGGACGCUAAUACCGCAUACGUCCUACGGGAGAAAGCAGGGGACCUUCGGGCCUUGCGCUAUCAGAUGAGCCUAGGUCGGAUUAGCUAGUUGGUGAGGUAAUGGCUCACCAAGGCGACGAUCCGUAACUGGUCUGAGAGGAUGAUCAGUCACACUGGAACUGAGACACGGUCCAGACUCCUACGGGAGGCAGCAGUGGGGAAUAUUGGACAAUGGGCGAAAGCCUGAUCCAGCCAUGCCGCGUGUGUGAAGAAGGUCUUCGGAUUGUAAAGCACUUAAGUUGGGAGGAAGGGUUGUAGAUUAAUACUCUGCAAUUGACGUACCGACAGUAGCCCGUC